AUUGAACGCUGGCGGCAUGCCUAACACAUGCAAGUCGAACGGCAGCGCGGGGGCAACCCUGGCGGCGAGUGGCGGACGGGUGAGGAAUGCAUAGGAAUCUGCCCGGUUGUGGGGGAUAACGUAGGGAAACUUACGCUAAUACCGCAUACGACCUUCGGGUGAAAGUGGGGGACCUUCGGGCCUCACGCGAUCGGAUGAGCCUAUGCCCGAUUAGCUAGUUGGCGGGGUAAGAGCCCACCAAGGCGACGAUCGGUAGCUGGUCUGAGAGGAUGAUCAGCCACACUGGGACUGAGACACGGCCCAGACUCCUACGGGAGGCAGCAGUGGGGAAUAUUGGACAAUGGGCGCAAGCCUGAUCCAGCAAUGCCGCGUGUGUGAAGAAGGCCUUCGGGUUGUAAAGCACUUUUGUUCGGGAAGAAAUCCGUGUGGUUAAUACCCGUACGGGAUGACGGUACCGAAAGAAUAAGCACCGGCGAACUUCGU
rnacentral:rRNA from 1 species